GUGCUUGCUUCAAAAGCACAUAUACUAAAAUUGGAAUGAUAUAGGGAAGAUUAGCAUAGGCCCCUGUGCAAGGAUGAUACAAAUUCAUGAAGAAACAGAUUUGAGAAUCUU
rnacentral:snRNA from 1 species